GAAUAUAUCCUUUAUUUUAAGAGCUAUAAUACUUUUGACAAUAUUUUUUUUAAAAUAUUUGUAAACUGGUUCCCCGCUGAUCGAUGCUACCUACAUACGAAAUAGGCGAGGUCGAUAAGGGUACCAGUUUAAUAUUCAUCGCAGACGGAAGUAUUGCACGCGGGAAAAAUUUCGUUUGAUCAACAGCCAUGUAUUGAAAUCAUAACGCCAUCGUUGUAUGAGUGGGUGAAGAUGAAUUUAAUGCGAUUCCACUCUCCUGUAUAAAGGAUCCAAGAAAAGAUUUUAGUAAAUACCUUGAGGGAGAAUGCAUAAGCAUGAAAACCUCCAGAUCUUGGUUUCCCUGGCCUGAAUCUUCGACGCCAUUUUGUUAGCAGUUCGAGAUGGAUUCAAGCAAAUUAAGAAGUGGAUUAUCCUAAAAAUUCGUUGGAUACAGACAAGGCCUAUAGAUCUAUAUGACAAUCAGAAUGAUUACCUCAUAGUGGACUAUAAGGCCUACAACAGCUAGCUAUUUCUAAUCAGAGAGGUGGGAAGACCCGGUAGGAUGUAAUACCAAGUAAACAGUAAAUGGAAAUUUAAAUUAUAAAAAAGGUAGUGCCUGAAAAAGACAAUUUAAGACUUGAUAUUUUGAAUGAAAAAUAAAAAUUGAAAUAUA